rnacentral:rRNA from 1 species
AAGUCGAACGAAGGCUUCGGCCUUAGUGGCGGACGGGUGAGUAACGCGUGGGAAUCUACCUAGCGGCGGGGAAUAACAGUUGGAAACGACUGCUAAUACCCCAUAUGCCGAGAGGUGAAAUGAAUUUCGCCUGAGGAUGAGCUCGCGUCUGAUUAGCUAGUUGGUGUGGUAAAGGCUCACCAAGGCAUCGAUCAGUAGCUGGUCUGAGAGGAUGAUCAGCCACACUGGGACUGAGACACGGCCCAGACUCC